GUGCUCACUUCGGCAGCACACACACAACAACCGGACUGACAGAGAUGAGCACUGGCCCCUGCACAAGGAUGACAUGCAAAUUUGUGAAGCAUUCAUAUCUUUG
ensembl:snRNA U6 U6 spliceosomal RNA